rnacentral:rRNA from 1 species
UACGAAGGGGGCUAGCGUUGCUCGGAAUUACUGGGCGUAAAGGGCGCGUAGGCGGACGGCUUAGUCAGAGGUGAAAGCCCAGGGCUCAACCUUGGAAUUGCCUUUGAUACUGGCCAUCUUGAGUACGGGAGAGGUGUGUGGAACUCCGAGUGUAGAGGUGAAAUUCGUAGAUAUUCGCAAGAACACCAGUGGCGAAGGCGGCUCACUGGCCCGAUACUGACGCUGAGGCACG